CGACUAAGCGUACACGGUGGAUGCCCUGGCAGUCAGAGGCGAUGAAGGACGUGCUAAUCUGCGAAAAGCGUCGGUAAGGUGAUAUGAACCGUUAUAACCGGCGAUGUCCGAAUGGGGAAACCCAGUGCAAUUCGUUGCACUAUCGUUAACUGAAUACGAAGGAGGACGUGGCUAACCGGGGAAAG
rnacentral:rRNA from 1 species